rnacentral:rRNA from 1 species
UGAGUACGAGCUGCUACGGCAGCGAAGUGGGUGACGUCAAGCUUCCAAGAAAAGCCCUACACCCGUUAAGGCAUGAUGGCCUGUACCCGAAACCGACACAGGUAGGAUGGUAGAGAAUACCGAGGGGCGCGAGGUAACUCUCUCUAAGGAACUCGGCAAAAUGGCCCCGUAACUUCGGGAGAAGGGGUGCCACCGCAAGGUGGUCGCAGUGAAGAGGCCCAGGCGACUGUUUACCAAAAACACAGGUCUCCGCUAAGUCGCAAGACGAUGUAUGGGGGCUGACGCCUGCCCAGUGCCGGAAGGUUAAGGAAGCUGGUCAGCGCAAGCGAAGCUGGCGACUGAAGCCCCGGUGAACGGCGGCCGUAACGAUAACGGUCCUAAGGUAGCGAAAUUCCUUGUCGGGUAAGUUCCGACCCGCACGAAAGGCGUAACGAUCUGGGCGCUGUCUCGGAGAGAGGCUCGGCGAAAUAGAAUUGUCUGUGAAGAUGCGGACUACCUGCACCCGGACAGAAAGACCCUAUGAAGCUUUACUGUAGCUUGGUAUUGUGCCCGGGCUCUGAAUGCGCAGGAUAGGUGGGAGGCUUUGAUCAACAGCUUGCGGGUUGUUGUGAGCCAACGGUGAGAUACCACUCUUUCAGAGCUAGGGUUCUAACGGUCACCCGUUAUCCGGGGACCGGACAGUAUCAGGUGGGCAGUUUGACUGGGGCGGUCGCCUCCUAAAAGGUAACGGAGGCGCGCAAAGGUUUGCUCAGGCUGGUUGGAAAUCAGCCGACGAGUGUAAAAGCAGAAGCAAGCUUGACUGUGAGACCUACAAGUCGAACAGGGACGAAAGUCGGCUUUAGUGAUCCGACGGUUCUGAGUGGAAGGGCCGUCGCUCAACGGAUAAAAGUUACUCUAGGAUAACAGGCUGAUCUCCCCCAAGAGUUCACAUCGACGGGGAGGUUUGGCACCUCGAUGUCGGCUCAUCGCAACCUGGGGCUGAAGUCGGUCCCAAGGGUUGGGCUGUUCGCCCAUUAAAGCGGUACGCGAGCUGGGUUCAGAACGUCGUGAGACAGUUCGGUCCAUAUCCGGUGCAUGCGCAGGAAUAUUGAGAGGAGUUCUCCCUAGUACGAGAGGACCGGGAGGAACGCACCUCUGGUGUACCAGUUAUCGCGCCAACGGUAAACGCUGGGUAGCCAUGUGCGGAGAGGAUAACCGCUGAAAGCAUCUAAGUGGGAAGCCCACCUCAAGAUGAGUAUUCCCAUGGCAUAAGCCAGUAAGGUCACGGGAAGAACACCCGUUGAUAGGCUCUACGUGGAAGCGCAGUAAUGCGUGAAGCGGAGGAGUACUAAUAGACCGAGGGCUUGACCC